rnacentral:rRNA from 1 species
AAAGGAAUUGACGGGGGCCCGCACAAGCGGUGGAGCAUGUGGUUUAAUUCGACGCAACGCGAAGAACCUUACCAGGGCUUGACAUCUACAGAACCCUUUGGAAACAAGGGGGUGCCCUUCGGGGAGCUGUAAGACAGGUGGUGCAUGGUUGUCGUCAGCUCGUGUCGUGAGAUGUUGGGUUAAGUCCCGCAACGAGCGCAACCCCUAUGUUUAGUUGCUAACGAUUAAAGUCGAGCACUCUAGACAGACUGCCGGUGACAAACCGGAGGAAGGUGGGGAUGACGUCAAAUCAUCAUGCCCCUUAUGUUCUGGGCUACACACGUGCUACAAUGGCCGGUACAGACGGAAGCGAAGCCGCGAGGUGAAGCAAAUCCGAGAAAGCCGGUCUCAGUUCGGAUUGCUCUCUGCAACUCGAGAGCAUGAAGUCGGAAUCGCUAGUAAUCGCAGGUCAGCAUACUGCGGUGAAUACGUUCCCGGGCCUUGUACACACCGCCCGU